GUCCCUGUAUCGUAAUGAAUAUCACAUUGGACUUCUGAUCCAAAGAUCGUAGGUUCGAAUCCUACGUGGGAUU